CUGGGACGGCCGGGUUAAGCGCCAUGAAGUUGAGGAGAGGCGGAACAAUGUGGAGGACGGAGACCUGGGGGACGGGUGGAAGAGUAGAGGAUUGGAGGUUAGGUUAGGUUAAGUUAGGUUAGAUUAGGUUUGGUUAGGCUAGAUUAGGUUAGGCUAGGUUAGGUUAAGCUAGGUUAAGUUAGGUUAGAUUAGGUUUGGUUAGGCUAGGUUAGGUUAAGGUUAAGUUAGAUUAGGUUAAGUUUGGUUAGGUUAAGUUAGGUUUGGUUAGGCUAGGUUACGUUAGGUUUGGUUUGGUUAGGUUUUGUAGGCAGUCAUUAGGUUAGGUUAACCCAGUAGCAGCGGGAAUCAUAUUUCUUAAUGGUCCCUCCAAGCGAGAAAAAUGAGAAAAAAAUCACCCCUCACACAAACCAUUUCAUAAUAUAUAUCAAAGCAUUUGUGAUCAGUUUAUGCAUCAUCUAUUUUGGGGGGUUUAUAUCUUGGCACAAAUUUGGCCUGUCGCUGCUACACGGUAAAGCCACAAAUUUGGCCCGUCGCUGCUACACGGUAAGCCACAAAUUUGGCCCGUCACUGCUUCCGGGUUAACAUAAGAACAUAAGAACGUAAGGAGUCUGCAAGAGGCCAGUUGGCAUAUACAAGACAGCUCCUGUACACUCAACCCCACCUAACCUCACUGUCC